rnacentral:rRNA from 1 species
AUUGAACGCUGGCGGCAGGCUUAACACAUGCAAGUCGAGCGAGCGGCGGCCGGGUGAGUAAUGCCUGGGAAACUGCCUGAUGGAGGGGGAUAACUACGGGAAACGGUAGCUAAUACCGCAUAACAUCAGAUGUGCCCAGAUGGGAUUAGCUAGUAGGUGGGGUAAUGGCUCCCCUAGGCGACGAUCCAUAGCUGGUCUGAGAGGAUGACCAGCCACACUGGAACUGAGCCACGGUCCAUACCCCUACGGGAGGCAGCAGUGGGGAAUAUUGCACAAUGGGCGCAAGCCUGAUGCAGCCAUGCCGCGUGUGUGAAGAAGGCCUUCGGGUUGUAAAGCACUUUCAGCGAGGAGGCGUUACUCGCAGAAGAAGCACCGGCUAACUCCGUGCCAGCAGCCGCGGAAUUC